GACGAACGCUGGCGGCGUGCCUAAUACAUGCAAGUCGAACGCAGUGGGGACGGGUGAGUAACACGUGGGUAACCUCCCAUCAGAGGGGAUAACACUUGGAAACAGGUGCUAAACCGAUACUGAUGGAUGAACCCGCGGUGCAUUAGCUAGUUGGUGAGGUAACGGCUCACCAAGGCCACGAUGCAUAGCCGUCCUGAGCGGUUGACGGGCCCUAUUGCGACUGAGACACGGCCCAGACGCCGACGGUAGGCAGUGGUACGGAAUCUUCGGCAAUGGCCCAAAGUCUGACCGAGCAAUCCCGCGUGAGUAACGAAGGUUUCUGGAUCUUAAACCUCUGUUGUUAGAGAAUCGGUAUCUAACCAGAAGCCCAGGGCUAACUACGUGCCAGCCGCCGCGGUAAUAC
rnacentral:rRNA from 1 species